AGUGAGUGGCGAACUGGUGAGUAACACGUGGGAAACCUGCCCAGAAGCGGGGGAUAACACCUGGAAACAGAUGCUAAUACCGCAUAACAACUUGGACCGCAUGGUCCGAGCUUGAAAGAUGGCUUCGGCUAUCACUUUUGGAUGGUCCCGCGGCGUAUUAGCUAGAUGGUGGGGUAACGGCUCACCAUGGCAAUGAUACGUAGCCGACCUGAGAGGGUAAUCGGCCACAUUGGGACUGAGACACGGCCCAAACUCCUACGGGAGGCAGCAGUAGGGAAUCUUCCACAAUGGACGAAAGUCUGAUGGAGCAACGCCGCGUGAGUGAAGAAGGGUUUCGGCUCGUAAAACUCUGUUGUUAAAGAAGAACAUAUCUGAGAGUAACUGUUCAGGUAUUGACGGUAUUUAACCAGAAAGCCACGGCUAACUACGUGCCAGCAGCCGCGGUAAUACGUAGGUGGCAAGCGUUGUCCGGAUUUAUUGGGCGUAAAGCGAGCGCAGGCGGUUUUUUAAGUCUGAUGUGAAAGCCUUCGGCUCAACCGAAGAAGUGCAUCGGAAACUGGGAAACUUGAGUGCAGAAGAGGACAGUGGAACUCCAUGUGUAGCGGUGAAAUGCGUAGAUAUAUGGAAGAACACCAGUGGCGAAGGCGGCUGUCUGGUCUGUAACUGACGCUGAGGCUCGAAAGUAUGGGUAGCAAACAGGAUUAGAUACCCUGGUAGUCCAUACCGUAAACGAUGAAUGCUAAGUGUUGGAAGGGUUUCCGCCC
rnacentral:rRNA from 1 species